CUCGUGAGAGAGAAUCUCGAUACCCCCACUCGAUAGUGAUGAGGAAGACCGGUCAUCCUCGAGAAGGUCCAUGAAUCCAUCUUGUGACAACACAAAUGACAAGAAAAAAAAAAAAGGCAGCAGUUCAAAGCAUACAAAAAAGGAAGAAUUUAAUGGAUAUCCUAAAAGAAAA